CGGACGGGUGAGUAAUGUCUGGGAAACUGCCUGAUGGAGGGGGAUAACUACUGGAAACGGUAGCUAAUACCGCAUAACGUCGCAAGACCAAAGAGGGGGACCUUAGGGCCUCUUGCCAUCGGAUGUGCCCAGAUGGGAUUAGCUAGUAGGUGGGGUAACGGCUCACCUAGGCGACGAUCCCUAGCUGGUCUGAGAGGAUGACCAGCCACACUGGAACUGAGACACGGUCCAG
rnacentral:rRNA from 1 species